ACAGGGCCCAUGUGAUAAUGCCAGUUUUUUGAACCAUGAAUAGCCUCCUCUACUCCAGCCUGCAGAGAAGCAGGGAGUGAUUCACAGCUGGGAAAGUACUGGUAGAGUCCAGCUCUCCAAGUACAAUGCCACAUGCCGAAAGCAAGAUCUGAAAUGGCAGUGAGGACAAUGCUGCAUAUGCAAUGACCAUGCGCUGAAAACGGAAUUGCUUGUGCCCAUCAUUCCUAUUCUUUCCAGAGGUCAUCACAAUUUUAAAUCUAGCAUUGAAGAUCAUGGAGGCCUUUUCCAACUUUAAUGAUUAUAUGAUCCCAUGACCACUGAAGAAACAGCCUCCAAGGAUUGUGCGGCUUGGGUCUCUGCUAAAUGACACUGGAAAAGAAGAUUGAGCUGGCCUGGAUACCUUCUCUGCUGUUGCUUCCUGCAAGGCUGACUCUGUCUUCCUUGAUGACAAGACAAACUCAUGAAGGAGAGGAAAACCUGAGCACCAUAGAAAAUACAGUUUUUGUGGCCUAGCACCAAGUCACCAACUUUGCAGAACCCUUGUGCUGAGGGAGGGCACAACCAGCACCUGUGCUGAUUGUCUCAGGCUUUGCACAAAAUUUCUGUCCUCACGCACAGCAUUAAAAAACAAUUAAACUACAAAUCUAGCUACACACAAACUGUGUUAACUGC